rnacentral:rRNA from 1 species
AACGAGUCGCAAGCUCGCGAGAGUAAGCUAAUCUCUUAAAGCCGUUCUCAGUUCGGACUGUAGGCUGCAACUCGCCUACACGAAGUCGGAAUCGCUAGUAAUCGCGGAUCAGCAUGCCGCGGUGAAUACGUUCCCGGGCCUUGUACACACCGCCCGUCAAGCCAUGGGAGCCGGGGGCGCCUGAAGUCCGGGACCGCGAGGACCGGCCUAGGGCGAAACUGGUGACUGGGGCUAAGUCGUAACAAGGUAUC